GUCGGUAAAACUCGUGCCAGCCACCGCGGUUAAACGAGAGGCUCAAGUUGAUAGCCUUCGGCGUAAAGCGUGGUUAAGGAACUAUUAAACUAAAGCCGAAUUGUCCCAUGGCUGUUAUACGCACCCGAGAACAUGAAGCCCGAGCACGAAAGUAGCUUUAAAUACCUGACCCCACGAAAGCUAUGAAACAAACUGGGAUUAGAUACCCCACUAUG
rnacentral:rRNA from 1 species